rnacentral:rRNA from 2 species
AUUUUGGAGAGUUUGAUCCUGGCUCAGGACGAACGCUGGCGGCGUGCCUAAUACAUGCAAGUCGAGCGAAGUUUAAGAGAUGCUUGCAUCACUUGAACUUAGCGGCGAACGGGUGAGUAACACGUAAAGAACCUGCCUCAUAGACUGGGACAACUACUGGAAACGGUAGCUAAUACCGGAUAAUAUAUUUCUUUGCAUGAAGGAAUAUUGAAAGUCGGUCAAGCUGACACUAUGAGAUGGCUUUGCGGUGCAUUAGCUAGUUGGUAGGGUAAAGGCCUACCAAGGCGACGAUGCAUAGCCGACCUGAGAGGGUGAUCGGCCACACUGGGACUGAGACACGGCCCAGACUCCUACGGGAGGCAGCAGUAGGGAAUCUUCCGCAAUGGACGAAAGUCUGACGGAGCAACGCCGCGUGAGUGAAGAAGGAUUUCGGUUUGUAAAACUCUGUUGUUAGGGAAGAAUGAUUGUAUAGUAACUAUAUACAGUA